rnacentral:rRNA from 1 species
GACGUAGGGCGCGAGCGUUGUCCGGAUUUAUUGGGCGUAAAGAGCUCGUAGGCGGCUUGUCGCGUCGUCUGUGAAAUCCCGUGGCUCAACUGCGGGUCUGCAGUCGAUACGGGCAGGCUAGAGUUCGGUAGGGGAGACUGGAAUUCCUGGUGUAGCGGUGAAAUGCGCAGAUAUCAGGAGGAACACCGGUGGCGAAGGCGGGUUGCUGGGCUGACACUGACGCUGAUGCGCGAAAGCCAGGGGAGCGAACGGG